UAGGGAAUCUUCCACAAUGGACGCAAGUCUGAUGGAGCAACGCCGCGUGAGUGAAGAAGGUUUUCGGACCGUAAAGCUCUGUUGUUGGUGAAGAAGGAUAGAGGUAGUAACUGGCCUUUAUUUGGCGGUAAUCAACCAGAAAGUCACGGCUAACUACGUGCCAGCAGCCGCGGUAAUCGUAGGUGGCAAGCGUUGUCCGGAUUUAUUGGGCGUAAAGCGAGCGCAGGCGGAAGAAUAAGUCUGAUGUGAAAGCCCUCGGCUUAACCGAGGAAUUGCAUCGGAAACUG
rnacentral:rRNA from 1 species